rnacentral:rRNA from 1 species
GCAUCCUUAGUACGGCGAGUGAAGCGGGAAGAGCUCAAAUUUGAAAUCUUCAAGGUUUGACCUUGACGAAUUGUAGUUUAUAGAAGUGUUUUCUGUUGGAGUUUUGGUAAAAGUUCUUUGGAAUAGGACAUCAUAGAGGGUGAGAAUCCCGUAUUUGACCAUGACUUUCCAGCUGUGUGAUACACUUUCAAAGAGUCGGAUUGUUUGGGAAUGCAGUCCAAAAUGGGUGGUAAAUUUCAUCUAAAGCUAAAUAUUGGCGAGAGACCGAUAGCGAACAAGUACCGUGAGGGAAAGAUGAAAAGAACUUUGAAAAGAGAGUUAAACAGUACGUGAAAUUGUCAAAAGGGAAGCGUUUGACACCAGUGUUGUUUUCUCGAAAAUCAAUUUAAUGAGUUCUUGUUUUUAAGUUAUUGUGACUUUAUCAGCGCAUUUCUUAUUUUACUUGACUCAUUGAAUGCACUUUUCGUUUAACAAGUCAACAUCAAUUUCUUUGGUGGUAAAAAGUUUAAAGGAAGGUGGCUUGGACUUCGGUUCAAGUGUUUAUAGCCUUUUUUCUAUGCCAUCGGAGAGAUUGAGGUCUGCAGCGUAGAUCCUUCGGGGUUAGAUACCUUUGUGCUAAGUUAUAGUUUUUUAUAGACAACUUGUUGACUAUAAUUAACCCUGUAAUUUACUCGCUUAGGCUAUUUUACCUACGCUUAGGAUGUUGACAAAAUGGUUUUAAACGACCCGUCU